CAGCAGCCGCGGUAAUACGUAGGGUGCAAGCGUUAAUCGGAAUUACUGGGCGUAAAGCGUGCGCAGGCGGUUAUAUAAGACAGAUGUGAAAUCCCCGGGCUCAACCUGGGAACUGCAUUUGUGACUGUAUAGCUAGAGUACGGCAGAGGGGGAUGGAAUUCCGCGUGUAGCAGUGAAAUGCGUAGAUAUGCGGAGGAACACCGAUGGCGAAGGCAAUCCCCUGGGCCUGUACUGACGCUCAUGCACGAAAGCGUGGGGAGCAAACAGGAUUAGAUACCCCUGUAGUCCCUGUCUCUUAUAA
rnacentral:rRNA from 1 species